rnacentral:lncRNA from 1 species
CUCCCCGGAAAGUCCGUCUGCGGAGGAAGAGCAGGAGGCAGAAGCGGCAGCAGCGUCCAGGUCGGAGUUCCACCUUCCAGAAGCCUAACCUUGUUGUUGAGGAAGAGGAGGAGGUGGAGGGAGAAGAUGAGGAAGGCAAGGCCUCCAUCGAGGUUGCCACUAAAAGCCGUUACCAGGGCGCAGCCAAAAAGAAACAAGCCAUGUCUUCUUCAGAUUGCUAUCGUGAGAGACCAGGGGAAGAAAAAGCCAGAGGAUUACUCAAAGCAAAGAGAUUCGAGAGUGACCGAGGUAGGUAAGCUACGUUUACUCAAUUCUAGGGUGACCUUGUGUCCAUGAGCCAGCUCCAUAGUUCACUGACACCCAGUGAGAUGAUGCCUGGCAGGGGUGGGUCCUGCGAGGCCACACAGACCCUGAAGAGUGAAGAGCAGCUUUGCACAGGUGUGGCCAGGGUGAGGCUUUCCAGCUCUGCAGAGAGUGCAGGCAGGACACAGGGCCCCAGACAUCACCGUUCAUCUAGAGACUGGCAGGCACUCAGCGUGGGCAGACAGGUGCCUGACGUUUGCAUAGAACAGCAAGUACCUGAAGGCUGCUUCAGUCUGAGCUAUUUCCCAUGGAUUCCGUGUUUCCCUGUCUCUUGUAAGAUCACAGAGCAAAGACACUUUAAGUCAUAAUUAUGUAAGGGUUCCGAUCUUAUCACUCCUGGGACAUACUAAGUCAUUGUCUUCCUAGCAUUUAGCAUGCCCUACGUUCCGGAGUGGGGGUAAGCAUUGCAGUUGCAUUAAUGUUUAAGUAGUGUUGACUUGUUGUACUGGCUAGUUUUGUGUCAACUUGACACAGCUGGAGUUAUCACAGAGAAAGGAGCUUCAGUUGGGGAAAUGCCUCCAUGAGAUCCAACUCUAAGGCAUUUUCUCAAUUAGUGAUCAAGGGGGAAAGGCCCCUUGUGGGUGGGACCAUCUCUGGGCUGGUAGUCUUGGUUCUAUAAGAGAGCAGGCUGAGCAAGCCAGGGGAAGCAAGCCAGUAAGAACAUCCCUCCAUGGCUUCUGCAUCAGCUCCUGCUUUCUGACCUACUUGAGUUCCAGUCCUGACUUCCUUUGGUGAUGAACAGCAACAUGGAAGUGUAAGCUGAAUAAACCCUUUCCUCC